GACCAGCUCUACUGCCACCUGGGCAGAGUUUUGGAGAGCAGUUUUGCUUCCAUUGUCUUUCAUAUUCUUAUAGCUUGUGCUUCUUAUAUUCAGCCCUUCUUUCCAUGUCUUCCUUUCCUCAAAAAUGUUUCCACUGUGCUCCCCAGAUUCUUUGUUUUGUGGUAAACAAGCUCUCAUAUAUCUCACCCUGUCACCAAGUGCUACUUAUGCCUCCUUGCCCUACCUAACUUGGAUUUUCUCUAAGGGCACUGUUGGAGUAGUGGAGAGUGUAGGAUGCCCAUUCUAUUACAGGGACUGGAGAAGGGGCUGACAUCCUCUAGAUUUUCUGUGGAAGCUUCCAGGCUGCUGUUUGUCUUCCUUGCUGGAACCACCACUUUAACCCAUGUCAGAUGAAUCGAUCAGUUACCAUAGCUCAUCUCUGUUGCCUAGACACUGGUCAUGCCCCCAAAGUAAUCCAGGCCUUUUUGCCUGUAACACAUAUCUUUCCUUGCCACUAUUCAUGUCAUUGUCCUGGAGGGUUUCAAAGUCCACAUGGUUUAUUACUCAAACCAUUGGCCUAGCAGUUCCUGACUGUUUGAAACAUAAUGACCUUGACCUGCCUCCAUUUUAGUCAUCCUCUUUCAUGUCCACUCUCUAGACUUGUGCAGCCCAAUAUAGUAGCCACUAGCCACAGGUGAUUGUUGAAAUUUAAAUUAACUGAAAUUAAAUAAAAAUUUUACAUCAGCUCUCACUUGCACCAGCCACAUUUUACGUGCUCAGUAGCUACAUGUGGCUAGUGGCUAACGUAUCAGAUAGUGCAGACAGAGAAAAUUUCCAUCAUCACAGAGAGUUCCAUUAGAUAGCAUAGAUUCCAAGAUUGUCUUCACCCAGAAUAUGUUUCUGCUUCACUGCAGAAAUAUAUAAAAAGUAACCAAAUGUGGUAGCACGUGCCUAUAGUCACAGCUACUCAAGAGCCUGAAGCAGAAAAACCAUUUUAGGUCAAGGAGUUUGAGGCUAUAGUGCACUAUGAUCAUUCCUGUGAGUAGCCACUGUACUCCACCCUAUCUGUCUCUUAAAACAAAACAAAAACUGCACUCUAUUCUGGGCAACAGAGGGAGACCGAGUGUCAAAACCCAAAAACAAACAACAAAUAAGUGUACACAAAUUUAAAGACACAAAAAUAUUGCAUCAGGAAAAAUGGCAGAUAGGAGGCAGGACUAACUUGCAGCUCCCACUCAUAUGUACAGAGCAGUGCGCGGAGACUCAAAUUGUGAACUUUUGCUCCAAGAACUACUGCAGGAACAUACCAGGAAAGCUGAGAGAAUCCACAGCCCCUUUGAAAGCAGUGGCUUGCUGCUGCAGGCUCUGUGAGACAGAUGAAAACCUGUGAGUGCCCAAAAUGUGGGAAGGGGAACAUUUGCCCCCAAACACACAUCCUCACUGGGGAUCUUGAAGGUCCAGAUCACAGAAGAAGGAUUUGACCUUACCUGGAGCUGAGAUGAAUUUAGAGAGCUGAAUGAAAUACAGGGAUAUACAUUGGGAAGAGCCCUGUGAGCCCUCACAGUCCCUAGGGAAGCCAUUCCUCACUUUGUCUCACAGGAAUCCAUGGGGUGGACUGUCAGUGGAAUUGGGGAAAGCCAACAGGGAGAAGGAAACCUCUAGCUGAACUUCAUAACAAUUUCAACUGAAUGCAAAGUUUCAUGGGCAGAAUCCACAAGAUGGGGAAAACAGGAGUGUGCAUGGGAAACUGCGGCAGGAAGGGAGGCAUGAAAUCUGAAAGCCCUGCUUGCUUUCUCAGCGGGGAGGCUUGUAGCCUGGGGCAAGUUUUCAGCUCUGCUCACCAGCUGCCUGGGAAUAAAAUCAGUGCUGUUGGCAGGGGCAUGGUGGGAGUGCGACUGGCGUUUUGGGCUGUGUGGGAUCUUGGUGAGAUCUGUCACUGCUGGUUUCCCCCACUUCCCUGGUGACCUGUAUGACACAGCACAGAAAGCCAUAAUCCCCCUAGGAACGUAAUUCCAUUGACCCGAGAACCAGACUUCUAUCCACCACAGCAGCCACAGCAAACCCUGCCCAAGGAGAGUCUGAGCUCAGAUACAACCAACUCUGCCUCUACCUUAUGGUCUUUCUCAACCCACCUUGGUAGCUGAAGACAAAGGACAUAAUCUCGUGGAAGCUCUAUGGCCACACUCUCUGCCUUAGACACCCCGAAUACUUAUCCAGGUGACCGUAGGGCAAGCUUGUAUCCUCCCUAUACUACCGCAGCGAUGCUCUCUUGAAAGCACCACUUCCCGGCUGGAGACCAACCAACACAAAAUCAGAGCACUAAACAAAACUACAACCAAGGACCCUCACGGAGUCCACUUUACUCCCCUGCUACCACCAGUGGAGCAGGUGCACAAAUGUCUAACAAACAUAUGAAAAGAAUGCUCAACAUCACUAAUAAUUAUGAGAUGCAAAUCAAAACCAUGAUGUGAUACCACCUUACUCCUGCAAGAAUGGCCAUAAUCAAAAAAUUAAAAAACGAUGGAUGUUGGUGUGGAUGCAGUGAAAAGGGAACACUUUUACACUGCUGGUGAGAAUGUAAACUAGUCUACCCAUUAUGGAAAGCAGUCUGGAGUUUACUGAAAGAAUCAAAAGUAGAUCUACCAUUUGAUCCAGCAAUCCCACUAGUGGGUAUCUAUCCAGAGGAAAAGAAGUAAUUAUGCUAAAAAGAUACUUGCAUACAUAUAUUUGUAGCAGCACAAUUUGUAAUUGUAAAAAUGGAACCAGCUCAAAUUCCCAUCAGUCAACUAGUGGAUAAAGAAAAUGUGGUGCGGAAAGAUGGCAGAGGUGUAGGGGGCCGAGGUGAAAGUGGAUGGCACCAAGCUGAAACUGAGCUAGAAUGAGCUGAAGAGAUGCCUGAAAGCUGAGAAGAAAGUAGCAGAGAAGGAGGCCAAGCAGAAAGAGCUCAGUGAGAAACCCGAUGCUGCCACCAACCACACGGCUGACAAUGGUGUGGGUUCUGAGGAAGAGAGCCUGGACCCAAAUCAAUACUGCAAAAUCCACAGUCAGGCAAUUCAUCAACUGAAGGUCAAUGGGGAAGACCAAUACCCACACAAGUUCCAUAUAGACAUCUCACUCACCGACUUCAUCGAAGAAUAUAGUCACCACCUGCAGCCUGGGGAUCACCUGACUGACAUCACCUUAAGGGUGGCAGGUAGGAUUCAUGCCAAAAGAGCUUCUGGGGUAAAGCUCAUCUCCUAUGAUCUUCGAGGAGAGGGGUAAAGUUGCAAGUCAUGGCCAAUUCCAGAAUUAUAAAUUGGAAAAAUAAUUUAUUCAUAUUAAUAACAAACUGCAUCAGAGAGACAUAAUUGGAGUCGAGGGGAAUCCUGGGAAGACCAAGAAGGGUGAGCUGAGCAUCAUUCCAUAUGAGAUCACACUGCUGUCUCCCUGUUUGCAUAUGUUACCUCAUCUUCACUUUGGCCUCAAAGAAAAGGAAACAAGGUAUCGCCAGAGAUACUUGGACUUGAUCCUGAAUGACUUUGUGAGGCAGAAAUUUAUCACCCGCUCUAAGAUCAUCACAUAUAUAAGAAGUUUCAUGGAUGAGCUGGGAUUCCUGGGACCGAAACUCCCAUUAUGAACAUCAUCCCAGGGGGAGCUGUGGCCAAGCCUUUCAUCACUUAGCACAAUGAGCUGGACAUGAAUUUUUAUGUGAGAAUUGCUCCAGAACUCUACCAUGAGAUGCUUGUGGUUGGUGGCAUCGACCGGGUUUUUGAAAUUGGAUGCCAGUUCCGGAAUGAGGGGAUUGAUUUGAUGCACAAUCCUGAGUUCACCACCUGUGAGUUCUACAUGGCCUAUGCAGACUAUCACAAUCUCAUAGAAGUCAUGGAGAACAUGGUUUCAGUGAUGGUGAAGCAUGUUACGGGCGGUUACAAGGUCAUCUACCACCCAGAUGGCCCAGAGGGCCAGGCCUAUGAUAUUCACUUCACCCCACCCUUUCGGAGAAUCAGCAUGGUAGAAGAGCUUGAGAAAGCCUUGAGGAUGAAGCUACUAGAAACUAACCUCUUUGAAACUGAAGAAACUUGCAAAAUUCUUGAUGAUAUCUGGGGGGCAAAAGCUGUUGAAUGCCCUCCACCUCGGACCACAGCCAGGCUCCUUGACAAGCUUGUAGGGGAGUUACUGGAAAUGACUUGCAUCAAUCCUACGUUCAUUUUUGAUCACCCACAGAUAAUGAGCCCUUUGGCUAAAUGGCACUGCUCUAAAGAGGGUCUGACCGAGAGCUUUGAGCUAUUUGUCAUGAAGAGAUAGUCAAUGCCUACACUGAGCUGAAUGAUCCCAUCCAGCAGCGGCAGCUUUUUGAAGAACAGGCCAAGGCCAAGGCUGCAGGUGAUCAUGAGGUCAUGUUCAUAGAUGGAAACUUCUGUACCACCUUGGAAUAUGGGCUGCCCCCCAUGGCUGGCUGGGGCAUGGGCAUUGACCGAGUCGCCAUGUUUCUCAGGGACUCCAACAACAUGAAGGAAGUACUUCUGUUUCUUGCCAUGAAGCCCGAAGACAAGAAGGAGAAUGUAGCAACCACUGAUAUGCUAGAAAGUACAACAGUUGGCACUUUGGUCUAGAAAAUAAUAAUAGUUGCAAGUUGUAUAACUCAGGAGUCUUUGCAUUUCUGCAAAAGUUCAGGGCCCACAAAGGAAUUCUUAUGUGUGGCUUUCCAUUUGACUGCCGCAGUUUGGUUCAGCCAUCAGAAGAGAGACAAGGAAUUACAAAUGUCUUUUUAAUCCAUGUUACCAAAUAAA